AGCGCUGUGGCUUAGUGGGUAAAGCCACCACCUGCAGUGCCAGCAUCCCAUGUGGGCACUGGUUUGAGUCCUGUCUGCUCUG
rnacentral:tRNA from 1 species